rnacentral:rRNA from 1 species
GACGAACGCUGGCGGCGUGCUUAACACAUGCAAGUCGAACGGAAAGGCCCUGCUUUUGUGGGGUGCUCGAGUGGCGAACGGGUGAGUAACACGUGAGUAACCUGCCCUUGACUUUGGGAUAACUUCAGGAAACUGGGGCUAAUACCGGAUAGGAGCUCCUGCUGCAUGGUGGGGGUUGGAAAGUUUCGGCGGUUGGGGAUGGACUCGCGGCUUAUCAGCUUGUUGGUGGGGUAGUGGCUUACCAAGGCUUUGACGGGUAGCCGGCCUGAGAGGGUGACCGGCCACAUUGGGACGGAGAUACGGCCCAGACUCAUACGGGAGGCAGCAGGGGGGAAUAUUGCACAAUGGGAGGAAGCCUGAUGCAGCAACGCCGCGUGCGGGAUGACGGCCUUCGGGUUGUAAACCGCUUUCGCCUGUGACGAAGCGUGAGUGACGGUAAUGGGUAAAGAAGCACAGGCUAACUACGU